rnacentral:rRNA from 1 species
UACGUAGGGUGCGAGCGUUGUCCGGAAUUACUGGGCGUAAAGGGCUCGUAGGUGGCCAACUAAGUCAGACGUGAAAUCCCUCAGCUUAACCGGGGAACUGCGUCUGAUACUGGAUGGCUUGAGUUUGGAGAGGGAUGCGGAAUUCAGGUGUAGCGGUGAAAUGCGUAGAUAUCUGGAGGAACACCGGUGGCGAAGGCAGUUCUCUGGGCCGUAACUGACGCUGAGGAGCGAAAGCGUGGGGAGCGAACAGG